GGAUCUUGGCUGAGGACUCAUCAAAAACACCUUGUGUAAUGAAAAACCCAGAUCUAUAACCUCUCCCUAUAUAUUCUGGAUGCAUUGAGGUAGGCUCAAACCCUCAGGGACCUGGUGUAGACGCGGGAUCUGUUUCACACAACUGCUAUUUGAAGGAAAAAAAAGAAGCAAAUGAUACCAAGACAAGCUACUAAGAGAGAUCUAAUCAGCAGAUGUGUACGGAUGAAAAUACAGUGAGAUGAGUCAGAAAACGGCCAAGGAGGGUCCCAGACUCUCCAAAAACCAGAGGUACUCCGAGCACUUCAGCAUCCACUGCUGCCCGCCGUUCACCUUCCUCAACUCCAAGAAGGAGAUAGUGGAUCGGAAAUACAGCAUCUGUAAGAGUGGCUGCUUCUACCAGAAGAAGGAGGAGGACUGGAUCUGCUGCGCCUGCCAGAAGACCAGAUUGAAAAGAAGGCUUAGGCCAACCCCAAAGAAGAAGUGACCAAGGAGGAGUUUAAAGUGAAUGGAUGGUCUCGGCUCCUGGACUCACUGCUUCACAACCCAUCUACCCUUGGACGAGUUAUCUGGCUUCAAAUAUUAUGCAAGGGCAAACACCUGCUGAUGCAGCAACUGCUGAUGCUCGUUGUCCCCAUGGCAUGAGGGCCUCAGGGCAGCCUGCCUGGAGCACUUGGAAGAUGCCAUCCCAUUGUCUUCUGACCUCUAUAAUUGCCACUGAGAGAUCUGCUGUCAGUCUGCUUAUCCUUCCAUGGACUCAAGUCUCUUCAGUCUGAAGAUAUAUGUCUUUCUUCAGGGACACGUGGGAAAAAAAGGUGUCGCACAACCAUCAAAAUGGCAAAAAUAAAAAAAAGUCAAGUGUUGGCAAAGAUGUGGGGAAAAUUCUCAUAAGCUACUGAUGAGAAUUUAUAAACUAUUAUGACGCCUUUAAAUUGCAAUCUGGGGAUACUGGCAAAGGAGUCAAUUGUAUAACCUGUGACGAAGCAAUUACAAUUUUAGGCACCCGUUCUAGAGAAAACUUGAAUUCACAGAAAAAGGAGACACAUAAAUCUGUUCAAUGAAUCAUUGUUUGGCAUUAAAAAGAGAAGAGAGAGUUAAAAAUUUUUAACCAAAAUGUCCACCAAUAAAAUGAGUGAAUCACCUGAGGUAUAUUCAUAAAUAAAAAUCUUAAGUAGCAGUUAAAACAAAUCAGAUAUACACACAUUAAAUAGAUAAAUUUAGAACACAAAAUGAGGAACAUAAAAAGCAAAUAGGAGAUGGCAAAUGUAAUAUAAUGUCCUAUGCAUAAGUUAACAAAGCACAGUAGUAUAUUGCAUAUUGCCCAGUAAGCAGAAGCUGUAAGGUCUCACACUUUCCUUAUAAUGCAAUAGAAUAAAAGUGACAACAAAGUAAAAGGGUAUCCCCAAAAUGAAGCUAUCCUUUCAGGAAAAAAAAUUUUUAAACAACUCCUGGUUUGAAGAAAUAACAGAAAGCUAUCUAUAAAUGGUUAACAAUAUUAGGUGGACAUACUUGUUUGAAGAGAUAGAUGGAAUAUAGAUGAAAAGCCUGGGGUAUCUUCAAGGUUAUACGUCUUACAAACAAAAAUACUUGUUUGGGUUCAGUCUUGGAUCUGGUCUCGUUCCUGUGGCUCCAGAUGAUUUCUGACAUGGAGAAAAACGGGAAAGAGUUGAAAUACAUCCUUCCACCCAAACCCUCCUUUAGUAAUAAGUAAGAAAAUGUAGAAGAAAAUAGAAUGUUGCAGAAUGUGGAGGGAUGUAACAUGGACAGUACUAGGGUCGAGGGAAGCUUAGGUUACAGGAAAGAAAGAGCAUUAGGAACCAUCUUGUGCUAGGAACUGCUGUGGCCAAGCACAGUCAGAUGCCAAAAGAUCCAACAAGGCCAUGGCUCUGUGCCCUUGAGUGAGCACAACCAUCCCUAGCCAAGUUUAAGAGGCAAGUAAAAAUAUGGGGGCAAUGUCAGACAAAGUCUUGUUCAAGUUACGGGGCUAGGAUAAGAGAGAAUGCCACAGAGUAGGGAGGAAGAGUGAUAGAUCCAGGUGGAAUACAGCUCAGAGUGCCAUGGCCCCAGGAAGAGGAAUCAGGCAAGUACUGUCCCAAGGCAGCUGGAGGGUGAGGGCAGAGUGUCCUGGCUUCCUUACUCGGGGAUACCAUGGCUAUCUGGAAAUGCCAAUAAAAAGGCAGGAAAAUUUGACUGGAUGUAAUCUUCAGGCAGAAAUGUUUCUCUUGCCUAAAUUUAGGUGCUAAAUAAACAACAGAAUGGUAACCUCUUCUAUGAAGCGUUUCCAGUGUUGGGAUAUCUGAGGCCAUUAUCUUCCUGGGAAUAACAUGGUGAGGUGCAGGGUGGUGGUGGUGGUAAAACAUAUGCCAGACCACUGUAAGUGACAACAAAUUACUGGCCCGGCCCAACGCACACCUAAUAAGAACUUUAAUACCCCUUUGGCCUGUUUUAGAUUUUGGCAAAGCUAGGCCCAUAGUCAGCGCUUGCUGGGCUCUCUCUUCCACAUCAUCCAGAAAACAUACAUUUACUAUGGAAUGAUUGUGGAGGUGAGAGUAUAGUGCAUAUUAAUUCAUGCAAAAAGUUAGAUGUUAGUGCAGAAAUGUAAAUGACAAGAAACUACUGAAUUCUCUGUCUGUUGUGGAAAUAAAACCUGGGGAUGAAUCAAAACUAUCUGACAAUUACUUGAAACAGGCGAAUAGCUAAAUGUAAUGUGCCUUGGAUAUUAUAACUAAAAGGUGCUAUAAUCCAGUUUUCUUUUUGUCUUUUAAGGAUUGGUUCUGAGGCACACUACUAGUAAAUAUUGCAAUUACAUAAAGUUCCAAAAGCUACUCUGUGUAAACUUUUUGAGUGGGAAUUUUCAACCGUAAUGUCUGGCAUAUGACUGAUAAUUCUGAAUGUUAACUGAUUUUAUGUUCUGAUGUUUUGACUUGUUUUGGGAAAAAUUUUGGGAAAAAAAGAGAGUUAUCCUUGUAAAUACCCAACGAUUGGGUCUCUGGGUAAAAAGUCCUAAUUUAUAGAGAUUGCUAAUUGCCAUAGUGUAAAUAUUUCCACAAUGCAGAUUUCUCUCUUUCUCUCUUCUUUCUUUUUCUUUCUUCCUUUCCUUUCCUUUCCUUUUUCCUUUUUCCUUUCCUUUUUCUCUCUCUUUUUUUUUUUUUUGAGAUGGAGUUUCACUCUUGUUGCCCAGGCUGGAAUGCAAUGGUGUGACCUUGGCUCACUGCAGUCUCCACCUCCCAGGUUCAAGUGAUUCUUCUGCCUCAGCCUCCUUCCUGAGUAGCUGGGAUUACAGGUGCUCACCACCAUGCCUGGCUAAUUUUAUAGUUUUAAUAGAGACGGGGUUUUACCAUAUUGGCCAGGCUGGUCUCGAACUCUGGACCUCAGGUGAUCCAUCUGCCUUGGCCUUCCAAAGUGUUGGGAUUACAGGCGUGAGCCACCACACCUAGCCUACAAUGCAUAUUUCAAGCUAUGAACAUGAUGUAUCUGGAAUUUACCAUUUAUCUUUUAACUAGCAAAUUUGAUGCAGAAUUGGGAAGAGAAGCACACAAUGAACUCUUGUCAACUGGCACAGGCCAGCACCAGUGCACCACUGUAUGUAUCCAUGGCCCUCUGUGAAGUUAGAGUUUACUACUAAAAUUUCAGCUCUAUAAAUAUACAGAGACACUAGUACAAGAAAAAAUAAAAAAGGAAUAUAAACUAAAUUCAAACUGGGGACCUCAAAUGGAGAAAACUGACAGAUAAUAUUUUUGUGACUUUGAAAAGUAGCAUUUGCCUAGAAUGACCUUUUAUUGUCUUUUUUUGUUUGUUUGUUUGUCUGUUUUGAGAUGGAGUUUCGCUCUUGUUACCCAGGCUGGAGUGCAAUGGUGUGUGACAUCAACUCACUGCAACCUCUGCCUCCCGGGUUCAAGCAAUUCUCCUGCCUCAGCCUCCCAAGUAGCUGGGAUUACAGGCACCCACCACCAUGCCAAGCUAACUUUUUGUAUUUUUAGUAGAGAUGGGAUUUUGCCAUGUUGGCCAGGCUGGUCUCGAACUCCUGACCUCAGGUGAUCCACCUGCUUUGGCCUCCCAAAGCGUUGGGAUUACAGGCAUGAGCCACUGUGCCUGGCCUAUUACUAUCUUUUAUUAAGCAAACAGGGUGUCUGUGUAUGUAUCAUACUAAGUGUUCUGAGCUCUUAGUUUCUUUGGUGUUCACCUAGAUGGAGGCUGGGGCUUCCUCCUUUCAGAUAUUGGUGCUAAUGUGAUGCUGAUCAGAGAAUGGGUGGGACCUGCACACUGUGAAGCUGGUUUCAGGAUGGCUGAGCUGAGGGUCAAGAAAGAAGAGAAGAUACGAACUGCCCGAAGUUUGGGAUGGUGGCACUGAAAUUACACUUGUGAUUCGGCAUGACAAUAUAUGGCUCUUUGUGAUUGUUAACAUUAAUGAAAACAAGAAAAAUUAGUUGCUCAAAAGUUGAAAAAAUGAAUUUAUAAACUUUUUAUUAAAGUAAGGCAAAGAACAGAUUAAAAUAGAAGUAAAUUAGAAAUGUCAAUAAGAACCCAUGGACCUUUUUUUAAAAGGAGACUUUAUCCGUUCUGUCCCUACAGUGAUUUGUGCUCUCGGAUAUUUUUGCUGUCAUCCUGACAAAUUCCAGUUGGAAUGUGGAACAAGCUUAUUUGUAGACCCAGUGCCAGUGGCUUCUAAAACAAAUCUCUGAAAAGAGAAACCACUGCCCAUUGGAAGGAUAGUUGAUUCCAUACCUCGAGCUAGGGAAAAUAAUCAGAACUAGUCUGUGAAUUCUAGAUGUUGAGAGAAAGCCAGUUCGCCUUAGGGCAUCAGAGAGUCAUAAGUCCAUAGGAUGCAAAAAAGAAGAUGAAAUAAAAUUGCCUGAAAAACA